UCCCUGGUGGUCCAGAGGCUAAGGUUCUGCAUUCCCAAAGCAUGAGACCCAGAUUCGAUCCCUGGUCAGGGAA
rnacentral:tRNA from 1 species